rnacentral:rRNA from 1 species
AGAGUUUGAUCAUGGCUCAGAACGAACGCUGGCGGCGUGCCUAACACAUGCAAGUCGUGCGGGAAAGUGGGGGUAACCCUGCGAGUACAGCGGCGCACGGGUGAGUAACACGUAGGUAACCUACUCGCGAGCCUGGGAUAACCUGCCGAAAGGCGGGCUAAUACCGGAUAAGACCACGGGGGCUUUGGCCCUUGGGGCAAAAGGUGGCCUCUGCUUGCAAGCUACCACUCACGAAUGGGCCUGCGCGCCAUUAGCUAGUUGGCGGGGUAAUGGCCCACCAAGGCAAAGAUGGCUAGCUGGUCUGAGAGGAUGGCCAGCCACACUGGGACUGAGACACGGCCCAGACUCCUACGGGAGGCAGCAGUGGGGAAUCUUGCGCAAUGGGCGAAAGCCUGACGCAGCGACGCCGCGUGGGUGAUGAAGGCCUUCGGGUCGUAAAGCCCUGUCGGGAGGGACGAAUCCUCGGCGACCUAACACGUCGUCGACCUGACGGUACCUCCUAAGGAAACACCGGCUAACUCCGUGCCAGCAGCCGCGGUAAUACGGAGGGUGCAAGCGUUGUUCGGAAUCACUGGGCGUAAAGCGCGUGUAGGCGGUUACUUAAGUCUGAUGUGAAAGCCCGGGGCUCACCCCCGGAAGGGCAUUGGAAACUGGGUGACUUGAGUGCCGGAGAGGAGGGUGGAAUUCCUGGUGUAGCGGUGAAAUGCGUAGAUAUCAGGAGGAACGCCGGUGGCGAAGGCGGCCCUCUGGACGGAUACUGACGCUGAGACGCGAAAGCGUGGGGAGCAAACAGGAUUAGAUACCCUAGUAGUCC